CCUACGGCGGGCAGCAGUGAGGAAUAUUGGUCAAUGGGCGAGAGCCUGAACCAGCCAAGUCGCGUGAGGGAAGACGGUCCUAUGGAUUGUAAACCUCUUUUGCCGGGGAGAAAAAAGCGGUACGCGUACCGCAUCGAGAGUACCCGGAGAAAAAGCAUCGGCUAACUCCGUGCCAGCAGCCGCGGUAAUACGGAGGAUGCGAGCGUUAUCCGGAUUUGUGGGGGUUAUAGGGUGCGCAGCCGGCGAGUUAAGUCAGCGGGAAAAUUUCGGGGCUCAACCCCGACAAGCCGUUGAAACUGGCUUGCUAGAGUGGGCGAGAAGUAUGCGGAAUGCGUGGUGUAGCGGUGAAAUGCAUAGAUAUCACGCAGAACUCCGAUUGCGAAGGCAGCAUACCGGCGCCCAACUGACGCUCAGGCACGAAAGCGUGGGUAGCGAACAGGAUUAGAUACCCUUGUAGUC
rnacentral:rRNA from 1 species